GGCUCGCAAGCUUGGUGUAGGCAACGGUCUGUAAAACCGCCGCGAUUGCAUUGCUAGUUCAAUUCUAGCCCGACCCA
rnacentral:tRNA from 1 species